AGCUUAUACAGGAAUCGUCCAAG
rnacentral:piRNA from 1 species